AAACUGGUCUCAAAAUGGUUUUAAAAAUUGGUUUUUAAAAAGGCUUUGAAAUAAAAGAAUAAAAAAAGAAGAACCCUCCCUCUCUAUUUUCGGCCCGAAGGCCCAUAUCCUUCCCUGCCCCCUUUCUUCUUCUCUCUGGCCCAAGCGGCAGUCGCGGCCCACUCUUUCCCCCCCUCGCUCGGCCCAACUCCUUCCCCAGCCCACGUGGCC
rnacentral:lncRNA from 1 species